rnacentral:rRNA from 1 species
AGGGUUCGAUUCUGGCUCAGGAUGAACGCAGCGACAGGCUAACACAUGCAAGUCGAGGGGCAGCAUAGAAGUAGCAAUACUUGGUGGCGACCGGCGCACGGGUGAGUAACGCGUAUGCAACCUACCUAUCAGAGGGGAAUAACCCGGCGAAAGUCGGACUAAUACCGCAUAAAACAGGGGCACCGCAUGGUGAUAUUUGUUAAAGAAAUUCGCUGAUAGAUGGGCAUGCGUUCCAUUAGGUAGUUGGUGAGGUAACGGCUCACCAAGCCGACGAUGGAUAGGGGAACUGAGAGGUUGGUCCCCCACACUGGUACUGAGACACGGACCAGACUCCUACGGGAGGCAGCAGUGAGGAAUAUUGGUCAAUGGGCGGGAGCCUGAACCAGCCAAGUCGCCGUGAAGGAAGAAGGAUCUAUGGUUCGUAAACUUCUUUUGCAGGGGAAUAAAGUGCAGGACGUGUCCUGUUUUGUAUGUACCCUGAGAAUAAGGAUCGGCUAACUCCGUGCCAGCCGCGGC